rnacentral:rRNA from 1 species
GACGAACGCUGGCGGCGUGCUUAACACAUGCAAGUCGAGCGGUAAGGCCCUUUCGGGGGUACACGAGCGGCGAACGGGUGAGUAACACGUGGGUGACCUGCCCUCAGCUCUGGGAUAAGCCUGGGAAACCGGGUCUAAUACUGGAUAUGACUCCAUGACGCAUGUUGUGGGGUGGAAAGCCUUGUGCGGCUGAGGAUGGGCCCGCGGCCUAUCAGCUUGUUGGUGGGGUGANGGCCUACCAAGGCGACGACGGGUAGCCGGCCUGAGAGGGCGACCGGCCACACUGGGACUGAGACACGGCCCAGACUCCUACGGGAGGCAGCAGUGGGGAAUCUUGCGCAAUGGGCGAAAGCCUGACGCAGCGACGCCGCGUGAGGGAUGACGGCCUGGUUGUAACGU